rnacentral:rRNA from 1 species
GACCGGCGCACGGGUGCGUAACGCGUAUGCAACCUGGCCUAUACAGGGGGAUAGCCCGGGGAAACCCGGAUUAAUACCCCAUGGGAUUAUUGAUUUGCAUGAAUUGAUAAUUAAAGCUCCGGCGGUAUAGGAUGGGCAUGCGUGACAUUAGCUAGUUGGUAAGGUAACGGCUUACCAAGGCGACGAUGUCUAGGGGGCCUGAGAGGGUUAUCCCCCACACUGGAACUGAGACACGGUCCAGACUCCUACGGGAGGCAGCAGUGAGGAAUAUUGGUCAAUGGGCGCGAGCCUGAACCAGCCAUGCCGCGUGCAGGAAGACGGCCCUAUGGGUUGUAAACUGCUUUUAUACAGGGCGAAUACCGAUACGAGUAUUGGGAUGACGGUACUGUAUGAAUAAGCACCGGCUAACUCCGUGCCAGCAGCCGCGGUAAUACGGAGGGUGCAAGCGUUAUCCGGAUUCAUUGGGUUUAAAGGGUGCGUAGGCUGUAGAUUAAGUCAGUGGUGAAAUUAUCGGGCUCAACCCGGUGACUGCCAUUGAUACUGAUAAACUAGAGGACAAUCGACGCGGGAGGAAUGCGACAAGUAGCGGUGAAAUGCUUAGAUAUGUCGCAGAACACCGAUAGCGAAGGCAUCUCGCGAGGUUGUAACUGACGCCGAGGCACGAAAGCGUGGGGAUCAAACAGGAUUAGAU